rnacentral:rRNA from 1 species
UACGGGGGGGGCAAGCGUUGUUCGGAAUUACUGGGCGUAAAGGGCGCGUAGGCGGCGCGGUAAGUCACUUGUGAAAUCUCUGAGCUUAACUCAGAACGGCCAAGUGAUACUGCAGUGCUAGAGUGCAGAAGGGGCAAUCGGAAUUCUUGGUGUAGCGGUGAAAUGCGUAGAUAUCAAGAGGAACACCUGAGGUGAAGACGGGUUGCUGGGCUGACACUGACGCUGAGGCGCGAAAGCCAGGGGAGCAAACGGG